CAGUCGCCGCGGGAAUACGUAGGGUGCGAGCGUUGUCCCGAAUUACUGGGCGUAAAGGGCUCGUAGGUGGUUUGUCGCGUCGUCUGUGAAAUUCUGGGGCUUAACUCCGGGCGUGCAGGCGAUACGGGCAUAACUUGAGUGCUGUAGGGGUAACUGGAAUUCCUGGUGUAGCGGUGAAAUGCGCAGAUAUCGGGAGGAACACCGAUGGCGAAGGCGGGUUACUGGGCAGUUACUGACGCUGAGGAGCGAAAGCAUGGGUAGCGAACAGGAUUAGAUACCCCAGUAGUCCCUGUCUCUUAUA
rnacentral:rRNA from 1 species